rnacentral:misc_RNA from 1 species
ACACAAUAAUAUCCAAAACCUUUUGGAUCAACCCAACCUUAGUGAACUGUUUUUACCUUAACUUUAAUCUUUUAAACUAAACUCAAUCUGAUUUGUAUAAUGUCUGAUCUUUUUUCUCGAAUAACUUUGAGAAAAAUAAUUCUAACGUAAUA